rnacentral:rRNA from 1 species
GACGAACGCUGGCGGCGUGCCUAAUACAUGCAAGUAGAACGCUGAAGGAGGAGCUUGCCUCUCCGGAUGAGUUGCGAACGGGUGAGUAACGCGUAGGUAACCUGCCUGGUAGCGGGGGAUAACUAUUGGAAACGAUAGCUAAUACCGCAUAACAGUAGAUGUUGCAUGACAUUUGCUUAAAAGGUGCAAUUGCAUCACUACCAGAUGGACCUGCGUUGUAUUAGCUAGUUGGUGAGGUAACGGCUCACUAAGGCGACGAUACAUAGCCGACCUGAGAGGGUGAUCGGCCACACUGGGACUGAGACACGGCCCAGACUCCUACGGGAGGCAGCAGUAGGGAAUCUUCGGCAAUGGACGGAAGUCUGACCGAGCAACGCCGCGUGAGUGAAGAAGGGUUUCGGAUCGUAAAGCUCUGUUGUAAGAGAAGAACGAGUGUGAGAGUGGAAAGUUCACACUGUGACGGUAUCUUACCAGAAAGGGACGGCUAACUACGUG